GCCCGACAGCUAGCCCACCCCACUAAAUACAACAACCCUUAUUAAUACCCCCAAAUACACCACCCUAAUAAAAACAAACCAUUUUUCCCCCUAAGUAUAGGCGAUAGAAAAGGACAUUAGGAGCAACAGAAAAAGUACCGCAAGGGAACGCUGAAAAAGAAAUGAAAUAAAUAACAUAAGCCUACAGCAGCAGAGAUUAAU
rnacentral:rRNA from 1 species